rnacentral:lncRNA from 1 species
CUCACCUCCUGUGACAGGAUGUUUUACAGCUAAUUAUCUUCAUAAAGGAUCAUGGCUUAAUUGAGACAACAUAAGUGUUAUCAUAGAUGAGGGAAGGUUCUCAGGAGAGUGGUCCAUGGUGCACAGUCCCAUUCACUAACAGUGGGCACAGAAUGCUGGACGCUGCCUGAGCACUGCAGCCCCUCCAGCCUCGCUGUGCUUCAGCCCUGAGUUUACACAGGAGGGGCCACCUGGAUGCUGUGAGCCCCUGUGAGCCUUGAUAGGUGGGGUUCCAGUGUGAAGAUCUGAGAUCUGCUCACAGUAGGAGGAGCGGCCCAGGUGCAGGUCGAGCUGGAUCUCAGGGUGGAAGAUGGAUCCCUUCUGCUGGCCUCUUCUGGAGGAGUUCAAGGCAGACAUGUUUUGUGCCCUGCACUCCCACACUGCCCCCUUGGCAGUGGGCUGUCUGGGUUAGGAGGGGAUCAGCUUUGUGUAGACUCCUGUGUGCUCCAAUUUGUGUGUGGGAGGCUGUGAGUGGUGGGAGGGGAGAGAGUGAGUGGGGAGGCUUGAGAAAUAAAUGUAGCUGAUGACAUCACAGUGACAGAAGCCAGUCUGGGAACAUCAAGUCAGAAUGCAGUGAAUGGCUUUCUUUUUGUCCCCCAGGGGAGGAAGCCUGAAGAAGAAUGGCCAGCACUAAUUCUCAAGACAUGGUUUGUGUAAGUUGCAUUCCUUCUUGACAUAGGGUAACUUUCAGGUUAGGUGACUCCUUCUUGUCUUUACCUCUUGAAGCUUCCCAAGGAUCCAGAAUCCCCUGGCCCAGGGUUGAGAGUUGGCAGGUCUGAGCACUUCCUGUCUGUGCCUCUUCCCAGCGUGCACUGUGGUUGACUUUGAAUGCAUUCCUCCACGUGUGCUCUCUGCUUGGUCUGUGCUCAGGGAGGACUGUCCCUGCAGUGGAGGUGACAGUCCCACAGGGAAACAGGGGCCUUGGGGGCUUCAGAGCUUUGAGGUGAUGGUUCCAUGUGACUGCCCUGGGAAAUCAGAUUGACAUCUAAGGUGUUGUCAGGCUAAUGACUCGGGGUGUGAGAGUGAGUGUCCCCUGUGGGUGUGUGUGAUAAGGUGACCUGCUUGAGGAAGCUUUAGGAGAGAGUUCAGUGAUCAGAGGGAAAGGUCAUCCAGGCUGUGUGAUAGGGAGGUGACUGCAGUCUCCAGAGUCAGGAAAGACCUGAGAUAUAUGUAUUGUCACCUGGAAAGUUUUGUUUUUCUUCAUGGUAAAGAAAAAAAAAAAGGGUUAAACCUACUAUGCACAUAAUAUGUACUCAUACAUAGUUUAUACACAUAGUAUGUAAAGAUCUUUCUCAUG